rnacentral:rRNA from 1 species
GUGUCAGCCGCCGCGGUAAUACGUAGGGUGCAAGCGUUGUCCGGAAUUAUUGGGCGUAAAGAGCUCGUAGGCGGCUUGUCACGUCGGAUGUGAAAAUCCAGGGCUCAACCCUGGACCUGCAUUCGAUACGGGCUAGCUAGAGUAUGGUAGGGGAGACUGGAAUUCCUGGUGUAGCGGUGAAAUGCGCAGAUAUCAGGAGGAACACCGGUGGCGAAGGCGGGUCUCUGGGCCAUAACUGACGCUGAGGAGCGAAAGCGUGGGGAGCGAACAGGAUUAGAAACCCCCGUAGUCC